rnacentral:rRNA from 1 species
CCUACGGGAGGCAGCAGUGGGGAAUAUUGGGCAAUGGAGGCAACUCUGACCCAGCAACGCCGCGUGAAUGAUGAAGGUCUUCGGAGUGUAAAGUUCUGUGAUGGGGGAGGAAAACAAUGAUGCUACUCUAAUAGCAAGCCACUGCUAACUACGUGCCAGCAGCCGCGGUAAUACGGAGGUGGCAAGCGUUAUGCGGAAUGAUUGGGUGUAAGGGGUGCGUAGGUGGUUUGGUAAGGUGGCGGUGAAAUCCCGGGGCUCAACCUCGGCGCUACCGCCAAUACUGUUAGACUAGAGUGCAGGAGCGGUAGGCGGAAUGCAUGGUGUAGCGGUGGAAUGCGUAGAUAUUAGAAGGAACACCAGGGGCGAAGGCGACUUACGGGACUGCAACUGACGCUGAGGCACGAAAGCGUGGGGAGCAAACAGGAUUAGAUACCCUGGUAGUC